ensembl:misc_RNA Metazoa_SRP Metazoan signal recognition particle RNA
GCCGGGCAUGGUGGCUCAUGCCUGUAAUCCCAGCACUUUGGGAGGCCGAGGCAGGCGGAUCACCUGAGGUCAGGAGUUCGAGACCAGCCUGACCAACAUGGUGAAACUCUGUCUCUA